rnacentral:rRNA from 1 species
UACGUAGGGGGCAAGCGUUGUCCGGAAUUAUUGGGCGUAAAGAGCGUGUAGGCGGCCAGAUAAGUCCGCUGUGAAAUCUCGAGGCUCAACUUCGAGCUGUCGGUGGAAACUAUCUGGCUAGAGUCCGGAAGAGGAGAAUGGAAUUCCUGGUGUAGCGGUGAAAUGCGUAGAUAUCAGGAGGAACACCGGUGGUGCAGACGGCUCUCUGGACCGUAACUGACGCUGAGACACGAAAGCGUGGGUAGCGAAACAGG